rnacentral:rRNA from 1 species
GGAUUCCCCUAGUAACUGCGAGUGAAGCGGGAAAAGCUCAAAUUUGAAAUCUGGCAGUCUUUGGCUGUCCGAGUUGUAAUCUAGAGAAGUGUUACCCGCGCUGGACCGUGUACAAGUCUCCUGGAAUGGAGCGUCAUAGAGGGUGAGAAUCCCGUCUCUGACACGGACUACCAGGGCUUUGUGGUAUGCUCUCAAAGAGUCGAGUUGUUUGGGAAUGCAGCUCAAAAUGGGUGGUAAAUUCCAUCUAAAGCUAAAUAUUGGCGAGAGACCGAUAGCGAACAAGUACCGUGAGGGAAAGAUGAAAAGAACUUUGGAAAGAGAGUUAAACAGUACGUGAAAUUGCUGAAAGGGAAACGCUUGAAGUCAGUCACAUUGACUAGGGAUCAGCCUUGCAUUGCAKGGUGUACUUUCUGGUUGAUGGGUCAGCAUCAAUUUUGACCGCUGGAAAAAGGCUUGGGGAAUGUGACAGCUCUGGCUGUGUUAUAGACCCUUGUCAUAUACAGCGGCUGGGAUUGAGGAACUCAGCACGCCGCAGGCCGGGUUUCGACCACGUUCGUGCUUAGGAUGCUGGCAUAAUGGCUUUAAGCGACCCGUCUUGAAACACGGACCAAGGAGUCUAACAUGCCUGCGAGUGUUUGGGUGGAAAACCCAAGCGCGUAAUGAAAGUGAAAGUUGAGAUCCCUGUCGCGGGGAGCAUCGACGCCCGGACCAGAACUUUUGGGACGGAUCUGCGGUAGAGCAUGUAUGUUGGGACCCGAAAGAUGGUGAACUAUGCCUGAAUAGGGUGAAGCCAGAGGAAACUCUGGUGGAGGCUCGUAGCGAUNCUGACGUGCAAAUCGAUCGUCAAAUUUGGGUAUAGGGGCGAAAGACUAAUCGAACCAUCUAGUAGCUGGUUCCUGCCGAAGUU